UGGGCGUAAGCGCGCGCAGGUGGUUUCUUAAGUCUGAUGUGAAAGCCCACGGCUCAACCGUGGAGGGUCAUUGGAAACUGGGAGACUUGAGUGCAGAAGAGGAAAGUGGAAUUCCAUGUGUAGCGGUGAAAUGCGUAGAGAUAUGGAGGAACACCAGUGGCGAAGGCGACUUUCUGGUCUGUAACUGACACUGAGGCGCGAAAGCGUGGGGAGCAAACAGGAUUAGAUACCCUGGUAGUCCACGCCGUAAACGAUGAGUGCUAAGUGUUAGAGGGUUUCCGCCCUUUAGUGCUGAAGUUAACGCAUUAAGCACUCCGCCUGGGGAGCACGGCCGCAAGGCUGAACCUCAAA
rnacentral:rRNA from 1 species